rnacentral:lncRNA from 1 species
UGAACUUCAAGAUUUUUUAUCGAGGAAAUGGUGUUCUUAUGAUUGUUUCUAGUCUCCUCUUGGAACUAAAUAUAAUGAGCGGGCAAUUUUUUUAUGGCAAUCUCCCAGUCUGCCUUCUUAGGAGCUUGUUGUUGCUGUUGUUGUUGAUAUUGAGUCUGAUAUUGACCUUGACCCUAUUAUGGAACAUUCCCUCUCUGAUCUUUC